rnacentral:tRNA from 5 species
GGGCAUAUGGGGUAGCUUGGAUAUCCUAGGGGCUUGCGGAGCCCUAGACUUGGGUUCGAAUCCCAAUAUGCCCGCCA